GUCAUGCUCGGGCAACACAUAUACUAAAAUUUGAAUGAUACAGAGAUAAGCAAGGCCCCUGUGCAAGGAUGACACGCAAAUUUGUGAAGCAUUCCAUAUUUAA